UAUAAUUUAUUUAUAUUUCAUACUUUAAUAUUUAUUGAAAACUAUCAGAAAUUUUAUUUUUUCGUGUACAGGAUAUUCCAAAAUCUACGAAAAUGGAUACAAUGAACUAUUUAACGGGUGAGCAAUCAUAUUACAUUGUCUGGAUAAUAAAGUAAAAAAAUACAAUCAAUCUUUUCGCACAUAGUAAAUUUGUAUUACUUUUCAUUAUCAUGUUAUUCAAUGUAUAUUCGUACAGCAUAUACGUACAAUCAAUAGAAUUUCCAUGAGUACAGCUCAGAAAGUAAUAUUAAAGUUCUGUAUUGUACUUGACUUAAUUUACAAUCAAGGACAAAAGAUGUCAAUCAUAGAUUUUAUCAGAAAUAAUAUUUUAAAGUGCCGAGACAGAGAUGAUGCUAGAUUACAAUUAUUUAUUUAACGCUAGUUAAACGUACCUCUCAGUAUUGAGGAAAAGUCAAGUAAGCUAUGAUUAAAAUAAUAAUUGAAAAUGUUUUACAAUAUAUACACUACCGGCGUGAAAAAACGUGUAAUAAGUGAAAUUGCACCGACCUGCGCAGGCUGACAGCGAUGCAUUAUAUACCAUCACGCGAGAUCGCUUAUCAGCUGUUAGUUGCUCGCCAGCUGUAGCACAGGCUUUAGGGUUCAUUAAAAAUAAUACGUAGAACUAAUAUUCCGUUCAAGUCAAAUUUAGUUUUUAUAGACACGUGUAACACGUUUUAUUCCCGCACUUUUCGAUAAUUUGGUCACACUUGCAAUUAAAAAACGACUCUCAGUGCCUAUUUCAAUUAGUUGAGACUUAUUCUUUAUAUGAUUUAUCAUUUUAACGAAUAACCGCAUUCAACUGUACAUAAAAAAAAAACAUAAAUAACGUAAGCUUAUUUAUAAAAUAUUAAUCAUAGCAUUAUUUAAUAUAAAUACAUAUUUGUUAACCUUUUAGAUUAGUCCAUCUAGGUUGACAGUGAAUGGUUCAAGAGAUGAUGUCGGGUGUGAAAAAUUUUAAGCAAGCUGUUAUGCCUAUUAUAUGGCUCAAUUGUAUAUUUUGCAUGGGUAUUUUCGAAAUACCCAUAAAUCGUCCACGAUAUUAUCUAAGUGCUUUCUACGUUAUUUCAAUGUUGACGGGAUAUUUCAUUAUGCUUUACAAAGAAUUUUACAUUUUCCAACAACUAUUAAUUCAAGAAUUUAUGUUAUAUUAUUUUGUCGUGGGAGUUAACGUCUUAGUUGCUGUCUUGGCUAUAAUUUUAUUCUGGUGGAAAUCAGAGAAUAUGAAUAACAUAAUUAAGAGGAACAGUAUAGCGGACAACACUUUAGAAGCACUGGGCAUAAAAUCAGAGUAUCAGAAGACCUUCACCAAUAUUCUCUGUUUUAUGGCUAUCUGGAUAGCAGGAAUGAUAACAAUAUUCAUCACAUAUGGAGUAUGGGCACAUCGCGAUAUUGGAUACUGGGCUCUCCUUUGUCACGAAAUAUGCCUGUGUUUUCCGAUUGUUAUAAACUCUGUAGUGGAUCUCACCUUCGUCUCGUUUAUCAGAUGUAUUCAAGUAAAAUUUCAGAAGACAAAUACUCUAAUCAACAAUAUAGUGCAAUAUAGUGCAAAUGAAUCAAAUGUCUUCAAGAUUCAUAAUCGGCACGAUAAUACGUCUAUUGCAUUUGUCAUGGCAAACUAUGAAAACAACAAAGACAAGAUGCAUCUCAUUCAAACGCUAAGACAUUUACAUUUGGAAAUUACAAGAAUAGGACAACAAAUUAAUCAUGCUUACUGUCUGCAACUUCUGCUUGAAUUGGCAGUCCAUUUUACGAUAGUGACAACGAAUAUUUACUGUGUAUAUUGUGCACUCUUUGGCCAGUUACGCGUGAUAGUCAACAACGAAAGGAUUAUUGCCAUGAUGGUGAUGGCAUGCAUUUAUUUAUUUAAAAUUACAUUAGUAAAUUGGCUUUGUACAAGCGUGUCAACAGAGGCAUAUAAAACCGGUGAAAUUAUACAAUCUUUUGAAGGGUCUUCUAUCGAUAAUGAUAUGAGAGAAGAGAUUCAUCAAUUUGCACAGCAACUAGUGCUUAAUCCAUUAAAUUUUACCGCUGCUGAUUUCUUUUCAAUUAAUAAUCGUCUUACUGGCAAGUUCCUUGCUACGGUCACGACGUAUGUUGUUAUUCUAAUACAAAUGAACACAUCCGUAUAACGUAAUGACAUGUAAGAUGAGAAUUCAAAUAUAUUAUAUAGAUUAACUAUUUUCUAUUAAUCUAUACUAAUCUAUAGAAUAGAUAUGUAACGUUUGAACAGUGUGGACAGCAAUAUUUGGGCAUGCAUUAUCAUGCCACAACAACCAACAUGUGUAAAAAAUGGUGCAUACGUGGCUGAGAGAAAUAAAAAACAUUUUUUAAAGGGUAUAUGUAAGCUUGUGGAACGCUGGAACAAGUGCACUGAAAAGCAGAGGACUAUGAAAAUGAUGUACCUAAUUAUAUGUUCUCUACUGUUGUUUUAAUAAAUUAUUGAAGUAGGGUGCGGAUAAUUAUUGACUCUCCCUCAUAUAUACCGUAAAAUCCACGUGUGUAUAAAGAAACUUGGUCUUGUGGAUGAUACAUUGGAAGGACUUGGAACGCCUAAGGAAUAUCGUAGAAUUAAAAAAUCGAUAAUAUGGGCGUUAGGUAUAUACUUUAUAGUGAUUCUCACAGUAUCUACUACUGAUUCUAUUUGGAAUAUAGAAAAGCACAAUACUAUAAAAGCCAUGAUUAUUCCUCUCGUUCUGGGGUAUCCUUUUCACGUCAACACUCUCGGAGAUAUAAUGUUUGCGUUUAUUUUAAGGUAUAUCGGUACCAGAUUGGAUAAAAUAAACAACUAUAUUGAACAACUGUCUGGGACUGAAGAGUAUGGACUGAGAUGCAAGUGGGAAAAGUCUUUUAUCAUUCGCCAUGUUCAAAGCAACGAGAAUCGCAAGCAUGUGUUAUGGACCGUAAUGCAUCUUCAUUCGGAGCUUUGUCGAGUAGCUCGUAACAUAAACGACUUAUUCGCGACGCAAUUGACGUUGCAGAUGAUAUCCUAUUUCGUUAUUUUGAUUGUAACAUUUUAUGUUCAAUAUCAUAUGAUGUUGUGUCUAAAGCAAAUAUAUGGGAGCGAUUCAACUAAAUUGAAACUUGUACUUGCUAAUGACAUGUGGUGCAUGAUAUUCUUAACAAAAUUCAUAUCACUGAAUCAUAUUUGCGAAAGUGUUAGUGCCAAGGUAAAUUGAUUUCUUUAUAUUAUAAAGGAGAACUUUCUACAAGUAGAAGUUAUGUUUGCGAUAUAAAU